rnacentral:rRNA from 1 species
CCUACGGGAGGCAGCAGGGAGGAAUAGUGGACAAUGGGCGCGAGCCUGAACCAGCCAAGGAGCGGGAAGGAUGACUGCCCUACGGGUUGUAAACUUCUGUUAUAAAGGAAUAAAGUGAGGCACGUGUGCCUUUUUGUAUGUACGUUAUGAAUAAGGAUCGGCUAACUCCGUGCCAGCAGCCGCGGUAAUACGGAGGAUCCGAGCGUUAUCCGGAUUGAUUGGGGUUAAAGGGAGCGUAGAUGGGUUGGUAAGUCAGUUGUGAAAGUUUGCGGCUCAACCGUAAAAUUGCAAUUUAUACUGGCAGUCUUGAGUACAGUUGAGGUAGGCGGAAUUCGUGGUGUAGCGGU